rnacentral:ncRNA from 1 species
GAAGGCACAGAAAAAAGAUAAACAUCUCCUAGGCGCAAGCGUCUUCGUCGAGUUUCCUAUUUUUCCUUGGCCUUC